rnacentral:rRNA from 1 species
AGAGUUUGAUCCUAGCUCAGGAUGAACGCUGGCGGCAUGCUUUACACAUGAAAAUCGAACGGGAAGUAGUGUUUCUAGUGGCGGACGGGUGAGUAACGCGUAAGAACCUGCCCUUGGGAGGGGAACAACAGCUGAAAACGGCUGCUAAUACCCCGUAAGCUGAGGAGCGAAAGGAGGAAUCCGCCCAAGGAGGGGCUCGCGUCUGAUUAGCUAGUUGGUGAGGUAAUAGCUUACCAAGGUGGUGAUUAGUAGUUGGUCCGAGAGGAUGAUCAGCCACACUGGGACUGUGACAAGGCCCAGACUCCUACGGGAGGCAGCAGUGGGGAAUUUUCUGCAAUGCGCGAAAGCCUAACGGAGCAAUGUCGCGUGGAGGUAAAAGGCCUACGGGUCAUGAACUUCUUUUCCUGGAGAAGAAACAAUGACGGUAUCUAGGGAAUAAGCAUCGGCUAACUCUGUGCCAGCAGCCGCGGUAAGACAGAGGAUGCAAGCGUUAUCCGAAAUGAUUGGGCGUAAAGCGUCUGUAGGUGGCUUUUUAAGUUCGCCGUCAAAUCCCAGGGCUCAACCCUGGACAGGUGGUGAAAACUACUAAGCUAGAGUACGGUAGGGGCAGAGGGAAUUUCCGGUGGAGCGGUGAAAUGCGUAGAGAUCGGAAGGAACACCAAUGGUGAAAGCACUCUGCUGGGCCGACACUAACACUGAGAGACGAAAGCUAGGGGAGCGAAUGGGAUUAGAGACCCCAGUAGUCCUAGCCGUAAACGAUGGAUACUAGGUGGCUGUGCGUAUCGACCCAUGCAAUGUUGUAGCUACGCGUUAAGUAUCCCUCCUUGGGAGUACGUUCGCAAGAAUGAAACUCAAAGGAAUUGACGGUGUAACGCCCACUUUCGUUUAAUUGAUUAUUUAAUCGAGUUUAGGAAAUUAUAUUAUAUUUAUAUAAUAUAUGUGUGAAUUUUGUUGAUUUAGAUGAUCUAGAUGAUUUGGACGAUUUUGAUGUGUUUUGAUGAUUUGAUGAGUACGUUCGCAAGAAUGAAACUCAAAGGAAUUGACGGUGUAACGCCCACUUUUGUUUAAUUGAUUAUUUAAUCGAGUUUAGGAAAUUAUAUUAUAUUUAUAUAAUAUAUGUGUGAAUUUUGUUGAUUUAGAUGAUCUAGAUGAUUUGGACGAUUUUGAUGUGUUUUGAUGAUUUGAUGAGAUUAUGAGACUUAUUUUAUUGUU